UGGGCGUAGAGGGCUCGCAGGCGGUUUCUUAAGUCUGAUGUGAAAGCCCCCGGCUCAACCGGGGAGGGUCAUUGGAAACUGGGGAACUUGAGUGCAGAAGAGGAGAGUGGAAUUCCACGUGUAGCGGUGAAAUGCGUAGAGAUGUGGAGGAACACCAGUGGCGAAGGCGACUCUCUGGUCUGUAACUGACGCUGAGGAGCGAAAGCGUGGGGAGCGAACAGGAUUAGAUACCCUGGUAGUCCACGCCGUAAACGAUGAGUGCUAAGUGUUAGGGGGUUUCCGCCCCUUAGUGCUGCAGCUAACGCAUUAAGCACUCCGCCUGGGGAGUACGGUCGCAAGACUGAAACUCAAAGGAAUUGACGGGGGCCCGCACAAGCGGUGGAGCAUGUGGUUUAAUUCGAAGCAACGCGAAGAACCUUACCAGGUCUUGACAUCCUCUGACAAUCCUAGAGAUAGGACGUCCCCUUCGGGGGCAGAGUGACAGGUGGUGCAUGGUUGUCGUCAGCUCGUGUCGUGAGAUGUUGGGUUAAGUCCCGCAACGAGCGCAACCCUUGAUCUUAGUUGCCAGCAUUCAGUUGGGCACUCUAAGGUGACUGCCGGUGACAAACCGGAGGAAGGUGGGGAUGACGUCAAAUCAUCAUGCCCCUUAUGACCUGGGCUACACACGUGC
rnacentral:rRNA from 1 species